rnacentral:tRNA from 2 species
UCCUUAGUAGCUCAGUGGUAGAGCAAUCGGCUGUUAACCGAUUGGUCGCUGGUUCAAGUCCAGCCUGAGGAG